UCGCCCUUCUUGGGGACAGAUUGGCACACCAACAAUUUAAGAACUGGAUGACAAAGCAUCAAUUAACGAAACAGCUUGUGACAACGCGGUGUGCUGCAGAUGUGUAGUGCAUUUCAGCCAAAUUCCGAUGCAUCAGCGUUUAGCAUAUUAAAGGCCACUUUAUACUUACAAAUCGAGCUGUUCUAUCCCCCCGCCCACACGCCCCCUCCCCAAAAAAAAACAGCUUUUCGGUGAAUAGGUUCCCAGAUUCUUUCACUUCUCUCCCCAGUGUGUGUUUAGCGCUGUACGCAGCAUCGCUCCGCUCUGAAGCCUCCCGGAUUGUCUAAACAAGCUGAGGCAGACUGGCAGGCGCCAGCCUCGUGACGUCACCCAUUCAUACACUCCCUGACGCCUGUCAGCCUGGCGCCGCGCGGGCGGUCUCCAUGGAGACCACAAACACUCCUCCAUUCACCUGCGCUGCGCGAAGCCUGAGAACAAACCGGCCGAGCGGAGCUCUCCGCCCCGCGCACCUGCGAGCUCUCCCUCGCAGCUUCAAACAGGAAAGUCAAAUAAAAGACGGGGUUGGAGGGGGGGGAGAGGUUGUGAAGGAGGGAGAGGGGAGAUGGCUUUUAUAAACAUUCUUCAGCGUACGGCUCCGGCGGCAAGUUUAUGUUCAAAUCUGCAAGGGUAACUCGAUGGUAGCCCCUUGUAACACUAUAAUAAUAAUAAUCAAAUCCUAAUAUUGCUAUUUAAAUCGUUACUCGCAACUGAAAAACAUAAUUUAUGCGUUCAACCUUUCAGUUUUGAGGAAAAUAUCUAUCUAUCUAUCUAUCUAUCUAUCUAUCUAUCUAUCUAUCUAUCUAUCUAUCUAUCUAUCUAUCUAUCUCUGAAGUGUGUAUUGCUAAGAAACAAUUCUACUACAUGUGCCUGGUUUCCCUUAACAUUUCCCAAACUUUAACAGUUGGCCUGAUCUAGCUGUCUGUUUUUGUAUUUAUUUCAUGUCCCAAAAUAACAAUAAUAAUGCACCUUUUAUUAAAGGUAAAACAAGUUGCUCAUAUAUGUAUGAGUUUAGCUGUUAUUUUGAUUCAUUUUAUAUUAUAAGUUAAUAUAUAGUGCAAAUAUGUCAAGUACAUUAGUAUGCAUUGUAUAUUUUGUAUAGGUUAUGUUUUAGUUUGUAUAUAAUUUAUAUAUGUAUUGGGUAUUUUGUUUUAUUUGCAUAUUUUCCUUUAUCACGUUUUAAAUAAUUUUAAAGUUUACUUGUAACCAGCAGGAAAAGGCACAGGACAUAAAUUCACCAGGGAUGGGACACCAGCCCAUCACAGGAGUCCUUACUGACACCCUCACACGGUGCAGUUGAUAAGGGUGUCCAUUUCCCAUACAUGUUCAUUUCUGAGAUGUAAGAGCAAAGUGACACCUCUCCACCAGCAGGGUUUUGCAUCCUGUUGUCCUAACAGCUACUCAUCUCCAGGUCAUGGCUCAGAAAGUUGAGGGCGCUGAGAGAACAAUGAGAGAUCAGAGCAAGGAUUGUGGGAGAAAUCCAGGCUGGUGCCAGUGUGUCUGGGAGUCUUCUUUGCUCUCUCAUCUAGCCUUUGUUCAGCUGCAAAAGCUAUCAGCACUUCCUACUGACAUCAACAAUAACUCCACAGAACUGGGCCCUUUUAAUCUUGUUUACAGCACAUCAAGGCGGAAAAAAAAGUGAAACAUAUUAGCUCCUGAUUUUAACGGACAGUGAAGAACUACCCCCUACGGGUCAGCCCUUUUACAAUGGUUAAUUAGAAAAGUUUAGAUUAUUCGUGGUGAGGUUUAAAUGAGCAAUUAACUGAUGUGUAAGAAAAUGAUCCUUGUGUUUCCCCAUCAGUGACCCUUCAUUCUCAUUUUAUUGCAACUGGAUGAAAUUAAAAUGAACAUUGCAAUGUUGGAAUAAUUCAAACCACACUGUGCCAGCUGUGAAUAUUUUAGCCUUAGAGACCAAUAAUGCAUAUUGCAGCCGUUACUGCCUCACAUUAUAGCAAGGGGGUGAAGGGAAAGCCAUAAUUGCUUCUGUUAUCUGCCUAGGGUUGUGAUGUUUAAGUGCAAUCUUAAGAGAUUUAAUGACAUGCUUCAUUGUGAAGAAAGCAAUUCUGUGUUGUACUUUUCAUUUUAAAAUCUUGUAAAUCAUUCUUAAAAAUGAUCAAAAUAUGUUGCUAGAAUGCUAUCCUUUUUCACAGCUCUUAUAAAUAAUUUGCUGCAUUAAAUGCUUGAACUGUU